GUAUGUAAGUGCCUCACAAGGAAACUGAUUUCAGACAGAUUUCUAAGGCAUCAUGGUGUACUGUCUAGACAAAUCCAGCUUUGGUUAUACCAAAGCAAAACUUUUAUAGUUAUAUAGUAUUAAAUGUUUUCAAAAAAUGAUUCUGUGCUGACACCUGUCAUCACUAAAGCAGACAAUAUGCAGAAGGAAAGCUCUGGCAUUAAUUUACACACCUGCAGGGUGUAUACUGUAUGUGUUCCCUGGAAACUGUAACCCAUUACCUUGAUAUCGCUGGUGCUCUAUCAGACAAACAUCAGCAGUCAGAGGUUCAGUCGACACAGCACAUCUUUGCUCACUUUCUAUAACUUUCUAGAGCUUUGGCUGACCUGUAUGUACAAAGGCUGAAGAUCAGUGCUUUAUUCUGCUUUCAGACAGACUGAAUGAAAUCUGAAGAGACAUUUGACAUCACAGUUCUUUAUUUAGGACACUUUCUCACCAGAGCUUUUGAUGUGGAGGCCUUUUGGUAUCAGAAUUUGGUUAAAAUCCAUUCAUCCAUACAUUUUCCAAGCCACUUGUCUGCAGUAUAUUCCAUCAGAGUAUUUUUCUGACUAUGCCACAUUUAACAUGAUCAAUGUUUAUAAGUGAUUUUCAAGCCAAGAUAAUCAGCAAAUCAAAAUGUAUAAAGUCAACAUGAAAUCAAAACCAACUAUACAUUUCUGUUUGUACUGUGCACAAAAAAUAAAAUAAAAUAAAAAUAAAAAUAAUAGUUCAUCAAAAUGUAUUAACUCCUCUUCUGACUUUCCUUUUUUGGCUGAAUUUUCAAAUGUCUUUUACUUUUCAAUCCCUCCACUCCAAAUCUGGCUCUGUUCCCACCUUUCAAAUCCCAAUUAAUUCUCAAUGGAUAAAAUCAAGCCCACCCUAAUUUCUUCUUGUUAAAUAUCCUUUUAUGUAAAUGGCGUCUAAUUGUCAAUAAAAUGUGUUAUG